UAAUAUUCCCUUUAGGUCAGGGUAACGCAUUGUAACACGGCCAGCGAUUGGCUGAAAAAAAGUGCAGGGAAAACCGUAUGAGUCAAUUUAUACAUGAGGUGAUUGGAUGAAAGUGGGGUAUUUUUAAGUAUAAAAACUAAUUUAAAAAGUAACACUACAUUGUUUUCUGAAGAAAAUGAAAUAUUUCAUGAGUCUCUGUGAUAAUUUUGACUUGGAUAUUUGCAUUUAUAAAAAGUGUAUGUCAGUCCUGUGAUCAGCAGAAAAUUUCAAUGAAAUGGGGGGUAAUCCUCUUUGAAGUCAUUUUGCAAAAAAUUUGGUCGGCUACCCCUAUAUAACAGGAACAUUUUUAUGUGUCAGGCAUUUCAUUCUGCUAGAAAAAUUACCUCUUUAGCAUGAAAACUCAAUUUUAAGGUAGGAUUAGGGACCAUUUCUUAUAAUGUAAGUCUAUGGAGAUAUCAAUGUGAGUGUCUGACCUAAAGAGAGGGAAAUUGGAACUGUCAUAAUUCAUUUGUUGUACUUUGUCUUCAUUGAUACGCCACGAAAAGCUGAUAUUUUGGAAGAAUGGAUGUAUACAGCCUGUCUAGAUUUCAAAGAAAUGCUGUACAUUGGAUAUACACAUGCCAGGUUUGAAGACUUAUGUAUAACUUGACAGGACCUGAUGUAAGCACAUUGGCCACUUUUGAUGGGUGUUGCAGAAUAUCCGGAAUGCGACAUAGUGGCACUUGGUAGAAAAAAGGGAACUUCAAAGUUUUAAAUGACUUAAGAGUGGUGAAAAUGCAUCCAUAUAAUUGAUUUCAAAGAAAUGCUGUACAUUGGAUAUACACAUGCCAGGUUUGAAGACUUAUGUAUAACUUGACAGGACCUGAUGUAAGCACAUUGGCCACUUUUGAUGGGUGUUGCAGAAUAUCCGGAAUGCGACAUAGUGGCGCUUGUUAGAAAAAAGGGAACUUCAAAGUUUUAAAUGACUUAAGAGUGGUGAAAAUGCAUCCAUAUAAUUGAUUUCAAAGAAAUGCUGUACAUUGGAUAUACACAUGCCAGGUUUGAAGACUUAUGUAUAACUUGACAGGACCUGAUGUAAGCACAUUGGCCACUUUUGAUGGGUGUUGCAGAAUAUCCGGAAUGCGACAUAGUGGCGCCUGUUAGAAAAAAGGGAACUUCAAAGUUUUAAAUGACUUAAGAGUGGUGAAAAUGCAUCCAUAUAAUUGAUUUCAAAGAAAUGCUGUACAUUGGAUAUACACAUGCCAGGUUUGAAGACUUAUGUAUAACUUGACAGGACCUGAUGUAAGCACAUUGGCCACUUUUGAUGGGUGUUGCAGAAUAUCCGGAAUGCGACAUAGUGGCGCCUGUUAGAAAAAAGGGAACUUCAAAGUUUUAAAUGACUUAAGAGUGGUGAAAAUGCAUCCAUAUAAUUGGUAAUUGUAUAUGCAACUUCAUUUAUUAUUAGAUAUUAGAAUACUAAACAUUUAAUAUUCCCUUUAGGUCAGGGUAACGCAUUGUAACACGGCCAGCGAUUGGCUGAAAAAAAGUGCAGGGAAAACCGUAUG